rnacentral:lncRNA from 1 species
GAUGAUGUUGUCGUUGAUGUAGUUGAUGAUGUUGUCGUUGAUGUAGUUGUUGAUGUUCUUGUGGAUCGUGUUGAUGAUGUUGUCGUUGAUGUUGUUGUUGAUCGUGUUGUUGUCGUUGUUGUUGAUGGAGAUAUUGAGUCGUUGUUGUCGUCGUUGGUUGAUUUAGUAAGAGUUGUUAAAAUUGAAGAAGCAUGAAUAUUAUUAUUGGAUAUAUGUUGUUAAUUAUGUUAUUUAAUUAAGUUGAUGACUUAUAUAUCUAUUAUUAUUGUUUGUGAAUCUCACCCCUUCUGCUUGAAAAUGUUGCCCUUCCUAUGGGUAACUUGCAGGUGAUCCUGAGUAGUUGGUGGUGGCUCAAAGUGUCUAGGGC